AUUGAACGCUGCGGCAGGCCUAACACAUGCAAGUCGAGCGGUAGAGAGAAGCUUGCUUCUCUUGAGAGCGGCGGACGGGUGAGUAAUGCCUAGGAAUCUGCCUGGUAGUGGGGGAUAACGUUCGGAAACGGACGCUAAUACCGCAUACGUCCUACGGGAGAAAGCAGGGGACCUUCGGGCCUUGCGCUAUCAGAUGAGCCUAGGUCGGAUUAGCUAGUUGGUGGGGUAAUGGCUCACCAAGGCGACGAUCCGUAACUGGUCUGAGAGGAUGAUCAGUCACACUGGAACUGAGACACGGUCCAGACUCCUACGGGAGGCAGCAGUGGGGAAUAUUGGACAAUGGGCGAAAGCCUGAUCCAGCCAUGCCGCGUGUGUGAAGAAGGUCUUCGGAUUGUAAAGCACUUUAAGUUGGGAGGAAGGGUUGUAGAUUAAUAUCUGCAAUUUUGACGUUACCGACAGAAUAAGCACCGGCUAA
rnacentral:rRNA from 1 species